CGGAGGUCACAACACGGGAAAGCCUCUCCGUGCAGCGCGCACUCGCGGUCCCGGGAGGACCGGGAACGGGGGCCCACGCUCACCCCACCCGGCCACCGGCGGAGGAUACAGGAAAGACAAAUGAUUCAAGCAAUAAAGAAUAAAACAGGCUGGAAAGAUGGCUCAAACAGUGUGUUUCCCUGCAUGUAUGUAUGUGUACCACAUGCAUUCCUGAUGCCCAUGGA